ACCUCCCACACCCACACACACCCACACCCACACAUUGUUGACAUUUCUGGAAACAUGCAGGGCUUCUCUAGGUUGCGGACCAUGAACUAUCAAAGGCACUGUGCACUCUAGUAAAUACAAGCCUGUUUGCGGUUAUAUGUAACACUGUUUGGGCAUUCUGAAAAUAAAGAUCGAUGGUGACUCUGGUUCAAAGCCACACAAAUUGCCAUUACAAUACUUAAAAGAUAUCACAAAGAACUUCUCGCGAGUACUUGGCAAAGGUGGUUUCGGUGUGGUAUAUGAGGGUGUGCAACCGAAUGGGGAAAUAGUUGCUGUGAAGAAGCUUUUGAACCCAAUGUCGCAAAAGCAAUUUGAGAAUGAGGUUGAUCUUCUGAUGAGACUUGAGCAUCCAAAUAUAGUACGAUUAGUAGGCUACUGCUAUGAAAUAGAAAACGAACACUUCCCUCUCAAUGGGAAAUACGUUUUUGCUGGGAAGGCAGAAAGUUUGCUUUGCCUGGAGUAUCUGCCUAAUGGAAGUCUUGACGAGUUUCUUUCAGAUUCAGAUAAAUCUUCUCGACUUGAUUGGCACACACGCUACAAAAUUAUUGAGGGGACCUGCAGUGGUUUACAGUACCUUCACAAGCAAACUGACGGGCCUAUCAUUCACUUGGAUCUAAAACCCGCUAACUUACUGCUCAAUGAUGCUUUGGAGCCCAAACUUGCAGACUUUGGUCUGUCACGUCUUCUUGAUCAACAAGGAACUGUGUGCACUAUGGAAGUUAAUGGGACAUUAGGAUACAUGCCCCCAGAAUACCUACAAGGUAUACUCGGAACUAUGUCAGACAUAUUCAGUCUGGGUGUAAUAAUCUUGGAGAUAGUAACAGGAGAAAGGAAGUACCCAGAUAAUAUUCCUCCUUUGGAGGAAUUCAUUGAGACUGAGCUUGAAAAAUGGAGAGAUACGCUGCAGAAAGCACCAGGGUAUACAUCCUUAGAGAUAGAUUGCCUACAAAUAAGGAGAUGCAUUCAGGUAGGUCUAAAAUGCAUGAAUCCUUCACGGGCUAAAAGACCUACAAUCACUAAAGUCAUCAAGAUGCUUCAAGGAUUGGGAGGUAUGGAUUGCAAUAUUAGCAAUGAGGUAACGCCAACGGCAGCCCAGAUUAGGUCCGGCCCAAGAGAGUUGCUUGAUAUCCACCCCUUGGAGCUCAGCUUUAGCUUGGAUUCAGACAAGCAGAUCCGUUGCCUCGUAAAGCUAACUAAUAAAACAAAUGAAUGUGUUGCAUUUCAUUUUAAGGUUACGGGGGUAACAAACAAGUACUGCAUUGAACCGGCUGGCAGAUUCCUGUUGCCACGGGAGAUGACUUAUUUAGUUGUAACAAUGGAAACGAGAGGGGAGUUGCCGGCAUUAGACUUGCAGUGCAAUGAUCAAUUCCUUGUACAAAGCAUCAUAGUGAGGGAGGAUAGAGUGACAUCUAAGCCUAUCCCUGGACAGACAUUCGACAAAAUGCCAAUCAGUGUGGUGCACAAGGUAAAGUUGGCGGUUAUACAUGUGCCUGCAGUCAUAGUGAGGAAGGAUAGAGUGACAUCUAAGCCUAUCCCUGGACAUACUUUUGACAAAAUGCCAAUCAGUGUGGUGCACAAGGUAAAGUUGCCGGUUAUUCAUGUGCCUGCAGUCCAAGGAACAUUGAAUCCGCAGCAGUCUGAAGGCUCUCAGGGAAAACUUCUAGGAAGACCAAACAUUUCUGACAAGGAUAAUGAAUACACGCUCGUUGAAUGUUUGGGAAAAGACCUUGGAUAUUGUGCGGGAAAGCCCAUUGCUGCAGUUCUCAUAUAUAAAUGUUUUGUUCAAUGGAGAACUUUCGAGUCGCAGACGACCUCAUCCUUUGACUGUAUUAUUCACUUAAUUGGGAGUGCACUAGAGUUUCUACAGGACCAGGAUAAUAACGAAACAGCUGCAUAUUGGCUCUCCAAUUCAUUCGCAUUACUCCUACUUAUGAAACGGACAUCCAAAUCAAGUGCAGCAGCUCCUCAGAGACAACGGUUCAUGAGAACUGGAGAUUCACCACAAAGCAGUGUAUUUGGUAGGAUCGAAAAGAGCAAUCUCCAGCAAGCUAUUGAAGCCCAUCCGGCUCUGCUUUUCAAGCAACAGCUUACAGCUUACCUUGAGAAGACGUAUCGAAUGAUAAGAGACAAUUUGAAGAGAGAGAUAUCUCCAUUUCUUGAUCAUUGCAUUCAGGCACCGAGAACAGCUCGCAUAAGUCAGAUUCAUGGAGCUUCUGUGGCAAACGUCUUGGCCCAGCAGAUUGGCCAUUGGCAGAGUAUUGUGAAAAUAAUAACAAACUACCUGGGUGUUUUGAAAUCCAAUCAUGUUCCUUCAUUCUUAAUCUGCAAGAUGUUCGGUCAAAUAUUUUCAUUCAUUAAUGUCCAGUUGUUCAUGAGUCUGCUUCUCCGACGAGCGUGCUGUUCAUUUAGCCACGGAGAAUAUGUCAAGGCUGGAUUGGCAGAGUUAGAACAGUGGAUCAUUGAUGCGACUGAAAAGUAUGCAGGCUGUUCCUGGGAAGAACUGUAGCCCAUUAGGCAGGCUGUUGAAUUCCUUGUAAGUGCCGGUGCUGUCCGAGUGAUGGGGUGUUUGAUUUGCAAUUUUAUGGGUAAAAAUUGGAUAAUCUAACGAAUAUUAAAGGGCAGCCCGGUGCAUGUAGCUUCCGCUUGCGCAGGGUCGGGGAAGGGUCCGACCACUUUGGGUCUAUAGUACGCAGCCUUUCCCUACAUUUCUGUAAGAGGCUGUUUCCAGGACUUGAACCCGUGACCUCAUGGUCACAAGGCAGCAGCUUUACCACUGCGCCAAGGCUCCCCUUCAAUCUAACGAAUAUUAGCAUUAGGUUAUUAUUGAAAAGCCAAAGAAAACACUGGAAGAGAUCACCAACGAUUUGUGCCCUGUCCUUAGCAUAGCACAGAUAUACCGUAUCAGUACAAUGUAUUGGGAUGAUAAAUUUGGCACCUAGACAGUUUCGUCAGAGGUAAUCACAAGUAUGAAAACAAUUAUGACUGAAGAAUCAGAAAAUGGAGUGGUCGUUCCUUUCUUAUUUGAUGAUGACGAAAGCAUUCCAUUUUCGCUGCAAGACCUUCAGAAGUGUGCGCGGGUAUUCGAGGUAACUGAUGUUGAUAUGCCGC